GGGUGCGUAGCUCAGCGGGAGAGCACUGCCUUCACACGGCAGGGGUCACAGGUUCAAUCCCUGUCGCACCCA
rfam:Devosia soli strain GH2-10 NODE_33, whole genome shotgun sequence.